CACUGUCCGCCUGGAUCAGUGUAUCCAUCACCUGCUGGAUGGAAGAUGUCUGGGCUGCUUCCAGGUUCUGGCGACUAUGAGUAAGCUGCCGUAAACACCGUGUGCAGGUAUCCGUGUGGACCUAAGUUUUCAUCUCUGGGUAAAUACCUGGUUUCUUUGGAUCCCUGCUGUCCGGGCACCCGGCAGAUACAGCGCUGAACAGAUGAGUGAAUGCGUGAGCAUCGUGUAGACUCGAGUCCGGUCAGUGGCGGAAUGAAAAAUAAGAUGGAACAAUCGCACGUCUGAUUCCCGCCGUGGCUGGUACCCAGGGGUGAGGAGAGACCCCGCUGUCAGUGCACGUCUCAGGCCUCGGGCACAUUGGCACCUGGAGUCCUCACUGGCCACCGACCCCUCGCGGCCGGGCAGCCCCCUGCCAGCCGGCAGCCAUCGCAGCUGUGGCCUUAGCCCCACCCCCAUCUCUGCAGUUCACACAGAGUCUGCCACGUAGAAGGGAAGAAAUGGCAUUGCUAACAUACCAAGUCCCUGUGUGAAACAUCACUUCCUAUGACACCAUUUUAGAAGGAACGGACUUCCGGUCACGACCACACCGAGUCCAGCUGCACUGUGGCACCGCCGCCCAGGACACCACCUGGACCCUGGCUACACGGGGACGUGGGAAGGAAGCCGCGCGGAGAAGGUGGUGAGCUCAGGAGAAGCCUUCUGGAUCACAUGGUGGGUGUGGCUUUAGCGUUACAAGAAACCGCCGGCUGUCUCCUGCGGCUGCGCCAUCUGCAUUCCCGCCAGCGGUGCAGGAGGAAUGGCCUCCCAGCCAGCACUUUUCCUUACCCAGAGCUGGCAUUGUCACCAUUC